rnacentral:rRNA from 1 species
GAAGCGGCAACAGCUCAAAUUUGAAAUCUGGCGCAAGCCCGAGUUGUAAUUUGUAGAGGAUGCUUCUGGGUAGCGACCGGUCUAAGUUCCUUGGAACAGGACGUCAUAGAGGGUGAGAAUCCCGUAUGUGACCGGCCCGCACCCUAUACGUAGCUCCUUCGACGAGUCGAGUUGUUUGGGAAUGCAGCUCUAAAUGGGAGGUAAAUUUCUUCUAAAGCUAAAUACCGGCCAGAGACCGAUAGCGCACAAGUAGAGUGAUCGAAAGAUGAAAAGUACUUUGGAAAGAGAGUUAAAAAGCACGUGAAAUUGUUGAAAGGGAAGCGCCUGCAAUCAGACUUCGCGGCAGUGUUCCACUGGUCUUCUGACCGGUCUACUCUCUGCCGCGAGGCCAUCAUCGUCUUGGCCCGCUGGAUAAGACCCUGGGAAUGUAGCUCCCCCUCGGGGGAGUGUUAUAGCCCCGGGUGAUGCAGCGCGGCUGGGGCGAGGUCCGCGCUUCGGCAAGGAUGAUGGCGUAAUGGUUGUCGGCGGCCCGUCUUGAAACACGGACCAAGGAGUCUAACAUCUAUGCGAGUGUUCGGGUGUCAAACCCCUACGCGUAAUGAAAGUGAACGGAGGUGGGAACCGCAAGGUGCACCAUCGACCGAUCCUGAUGUCCUCGGAUGGAUUUGAGUAAGAGCAUAGCUGUUGGGACCCGAAAGAUGGUGAACUAUGCCUGAAUAGGGUGAAGCCAGAGGAAACUCUGGUGGA